AGGCGGGGCAGAGCGACAGAGAGCAGUUGUCCUUCUGGCGGGACCCGCGCGCUCGUGCAGGUGGCUUGUGGCGGCCUGAGGCCUUUGCAGAGCCCGGCGCGGCUCGCCUUCCCCCUCUCCACAGCCGGGCGGGGAGAGGCCGGCCCCAGGCUGCAACCGAGCGCCAGAGAAUAACAGUUUGGAGGGCCAAGAUGCUGUCCGGCUCAAGGAUAUUUGCAGUGAAUCAUAAGAAAAUAUCCAGCUUGAACAUUAAUAAUGUGUGUUGCUCUAAAAUAAGAGCAAGUUUAAAAAGAUUAAAGCCACAUGUGCCUCUUGGAAGAAAUUACAGUUCCCUUCCAGGUUUAAUAGGAAAUGAUAUCAAAUCCCUCCGUUCCGUCCUCAGCCCUCCUGCAGCUAAAAUCCGUAAUAUUGGGAUUAUGGCUCAUAUUGAUGCGGGCAAAACUACCACCACAGAAAGAAUAUUGUACUAUUCUGGAUACACAAGAUCACUGGGAGAUGUUGAUGAUGGAGACACAGUGACAGAUUUUAUGGCUCAAGAGAGAGAAAGAGGCAUUACUAUUCAAUCAGCUGCUGUUACAUUUGAUUGGAAGGGAUAUAGACUCAAUCUAAUUGAUACACCAGGUCAUGUGGACUUUACCGUGGAGGUUGAACGCUGUCUAAGAGUGCUGGAUGGUGCAGUGGCUGUAUUUGAUGCCUCUGCAGGUGUAGAGGCACAAACUCUCACAGUAUGGAGGCAAGCUGAUAAACACAAGAUACCUCGAAUCUGUUUUUUAAACAAGAUGGACAAAACUGGAGCAAGUUUUAACUAUGCAGUUGAAAGCAUCAGAGAGAAGUUGAACGCAAAGCCUUUGGUUUUACAGUUACCAAUUGGAGAAGCCAAAACUUUCAAAGGAGUGGUGGAUGUAGUAAGUAAAGAAAAACUUCUUUGGAAUGCCAACUCAGAUGAUGGAAAAGACUUUGAGAGAAAACCCCUCUUGGAAAUGAGUGAUCCUGAACUGCUGAAGAAGACGACUGAAGCAAGGAAUGCCCUGAUCGAACAAGUUGCAGACUUGGAUGAUGAAUUUGCUGACUUGGUUUUAGGAGAAUUUAGUGAAAAUUUUGAUUUGCUACCAGCUGAAAAGCUCCAGACUGCAAUACACAGAGUAACACUGGCUCAGACAGCAGUGCCGGUGCUUUGUGGAAGUGCCCUCAGAAACAAAGGGGUCCAGCCCCUGUUAGAUGCUAUUACCAUGUACUUGCCUUCCCCUGAAGAGCGCAACUAUGAAUUCCUGCAGUGGUAUAAGGGCGACUUAUGUGCACUGGCAUUUAAAGUUCUCCAUGACAAGCAGCGAGGACCACUGGUUUUUAUGCGCAUUUACUCAGGCAUGCUGAAACCCCAGUUGGCUGUCCAUAAUAUUAAUGGAAACUGCACGGAGAGAAUAAGUCGUCUGCUUUUGCCAUUUGCUGACCAGCAUAUAGAAAUCCCUUCACUGACUGCUGGUAACAUUGCUUUGACUGUUGGGCUUAAACAUACUGCCACAGGAGACACCAUUGUCUCAUCCAAGUCCAGUGCAUUGGCUGCAGCUCGUCGAGCUGAAAGGGAGGGAGAAAAGAAGCACAGACGAAACAGUGAAGCAGAGAGACUUUUAUUGGCUGGGGUGGAGAUUCCAGAACCUGUGUUCUUCUGUACCAUAGAACCCCCUUCAAUGGCUAAGCAGCCAGAUUUGGAUCAUGCAUUGAAAUGCCUCCAUCGUGAAGAUCCCAGUUUGAAAGUGAGGCUAGAUCCUGACACUGGACAAUUUUCAGUGAAAGGAUACAUAUUAGAACCAGCCAAAGGAAAAGACACAAAGGGCAAAGUCUGGGAGAUUAUAAAUACUGUCCUAUGUGGAAUGGGGGAGUUACAUAUUGAGAUUAUUCAUGACCGAAUCAAGAGGGAAUAUGGACUGGAAACCUAUCUAGGGCCACUCCAGGUGGCGUACCGAGAGACCAUCCUAAAUUCAGUUCGUGCCACAGAUACCUUAGAUAGAACUUUAGGAGACAAACGGCACCUUGUGACUGUGGAACUGGAAGCAAAGCCAAUUGAAACAGCCUCUGUUAGGCCAGUUAUCGAGUAUGCUGACAGCGUUAGUGAAGACCUUCUGAAGGCCUCCCAGGAGGCCAUUGAAAAUGGAAUCCACAGUGUGUGCCUCCAAGGACCAUUGCUUGGAUCCCCAAUUCAAGAUGUGGCGAUUACUUUACAUUCGCUGAUGAUCCAUCCUGGUACCUCCACAACUAUGAUUUCUGCCUGUGUCUCAAGAUGCCUACAAAAGGCUCUGAAGAAAGCCGACAAGCAAGUUUUAGAGCCCUUGAUGGGUCUUGAGGUUACAGUGACGAAAGAUUACCUCAGCCCUGUCCUGGCAGAUCUGGCACAAAGAAGAGGCAACAUUCAGGAAAUCCAGACUCGUCAGAACAACAAAGUUGUUAUUGGAUUUGUUCCAUUAGCAGAAAUCAUGGGCUAUUCAACUGUGCUUCGAACGCUAACGUCAGGCUCAGCUACUUUUGCCUUAGAACUGGCUAAUUAUCAAGCCAUGAAUCCUCAAGACCAGAGCACACUGCUGAGCCAGAGAAGAGGCUUCACCUAAGGGCUCGAGGUCCUUGGGGAGAAAUUCAGGAGCACUUACCUGCUUUGUUUCAGGCUGAAGAGAUUUGCUGAUGCGCUUGGGAAAUAGCUUACAUACGAGGGAAUUGUGCAAAGUAUGGAGAAACCUGGCAGAUGCUAUCUUAGCCAAGUUAUAAGAGUUAACGUUACCAGUAAUGGAAUAAAUAAAGCAUUGUGCCACCUGACGUGCACACAGAAGAGCACAGCAUCAUUUCUGCCUUCGUCCUGCCCAAACCGUAUAACCUGAAUCUAAUCAUGUGGGAAACAGAAGCUGGAGUAUAUUCCACAAAGUAACUCACCAGAACUCUUCAAAAUGUCAUAGUCUUGAAAGACAAGGAAAGAUAAAUGGUUCCAAACUGAAGGGGGCUAGAGAGACAAAAUGCAACCCCUGAUCCCAGACUGGAUGCUGAACUUCUAAAGGACCUGCCCGGACCACUGACGGAAUCUGAAGGGGGCCUUGGGGAUUAGACGGUGGUAGUACGCCAAUUUCCUGAUUUGGAGUGGUUGUAGUACUGUAGUUACUGAGAUAAGUGCUACUGUUUAGGAAAUCCAAAAGGAAAUAUUAAGGAGUACUGAGGCAUCAUAUGUGCAACUUGCAUAUGAUUUAGAAAAAUAUACAUUUAAAUAGGGAGAAUACGGCAAAUAUGAUACAGUUUUAAAGUUGGGAUGUCUGGGUGAACAGUGUACAGGAGGUCUUUGCACUCUUCUUACAACUUUUCUGUAAAGGUUGAAAUUACUUCAAAAUGAAAAGAAAAAACACACUUCUUAUAGAAAUUAAAACCAUCGGUACUGGCCCAAGAAGAUAAACUGGUAAAUAGGACAGACUGAGAGUUCAGAAACUGAUUCGUGUAUUUAUGGGAAUUUAGUAUUUGCUACUCAUGAUACUGAAAGCAGGAGGGAAAUUAGAGACUGCUCAAAAAUGAUGUUGGGACUAUAGACUAAGCAUUCGGGAAAAAAUAAAACAUACUUCACCUAAAAUACACUAAUGUAAAUUCUAACUGAAUCAAGAAUUUAAUAGGAAAAAGUGUAACAUUAAAGGAAAAGUUGAGAGAUUAUUUUUAUACCCUUGUUUUGGAGGCCUUUUUUAGCGUACUUCUAAGGCCAAAAACUAUAAAAGAUUAAAAGAUAUUACUUCAUUAAAAAAACAAACUUCUGCAGGCAAAAGACACUAUAAACAUAGGUUAAAAAACAGAUUUAGAAAACUUUACAAUACAUGAUGGAUAAGAAUAUAAUUUAUCAGUGCAAGCAAACAUAAAAGCAUCAAUGGUUCCCCUGUAAUUAAAUACAAUGUUAAAGGGCUCUUCAACCAACAGGGAAUGAUUAACAUUCUAGAAGACAAAAUGGACAUUGAAAGUAAACUUGCAGUUUGCAACAUAAAAAAUACAAACAGUAAAAGAGGCUUAUAUUCACUAAAAACCAAAGAAGUGCAAAUUAAAACAAGGAGAUAUACUUCAUCACCAGAUUAGCAAAGCAUAUGGCAAAGGAGUGCCCCACUGUUGGCCAAGUACACACUGGUAUGACCUCUCUAGAAGGCAAUCUCACAGUAUGUACCAAAAAUUAAAAUGGGGGGGGGGGGGCGCCGGCCUGGUGGCACAGCGGUUAAG